UAGCUCAGUGGUAGAGUGCUUGCUUAGUAUGCAUGUGGCCUCAAGUUCAAACUCUUGC
rnacentral:tRNA from 1 species